ACGAACGCUGGCGGCGUGCUUAACACAUGCAAGUCGAACGGAAAGGCCCUGCUUUUGUGGGGUGCUCGAGUGGCGAACGGGUGAGUAACACGUGAGUAACCUGCCCUUGACUUUGGGAUAACUUCAGGAAACUGGGGCUAAUACCGGAUAGGAGCUCCUGCUGCAUGGUGGGGGUUGGAAAGUUUCGGCGGUUGGGGAUGGACUCGCGGCUUAUCAGCUUGUUGGUGGGGUAGUGGCUUACCAAGGCUUUGACGGGUAGCCGGCCUGAGAGGGUGACCGGCCACAUUGGGACUGAGAUACGGCCCAGACUCCUACGGGAGGCAGCAGUGGGGAAUAUUGCACAAUGGGCGGAAGCCUGAGGCAGCAACGCCGCGUGCGGGAUGACGGCCUUCGGGUUGUAAACCGCUUUCGCCUGUGACGAAGCGUGAGUGACGGUAAUGGGUAAAGAAGCACCGGCUAACUACGUG
rnacentral:rRNA from 1 species